rnacentral:lncRNA from 1 species
AGGAGCUCAAGUUUUUACCUUGCCUUUGGACACUUAUCUCCAUUUCCUUCAGGCUUCUAGUGUGGACUCUUCGACUUUGCAGCAAACACCCUUCAGCUUCUGACCUGGACUCACAUGAACUCACUGAGCUCCAGAACUUCAACCUUUGACUGGACAUUUUGGCUCUCCAGCAGGCAGAUGGCCUUUUGCAUUAUUUCACCUCUGAUUCUGCAGGGUGGAAAAUUAGCUUUGACCAAGCAGAAGAGAACAAACCCUUAGACAAUGACAGAGGAGCAGAUGAAGAGGACUGGAAGUACAGAUGUUAUAGA